rnacentral:tRNA from 1 species
AGAGCACCUGACUCUUAAUCAGGGUGUCCAGGGUUCGAACCCCUGAUCGCGUACCA